UACGUAGGGUGCGAGCGUUAAUCGGAAUUACUGGGCGUAAAGCGUGCGCAGGCGGUGAUGUAAGACAGAUGUGAAAUCCCCGGGCUCAACCUGGGAACUGCAUUUGGGACUGCAAGGCUGGAGUGUGGCAGAGGAGACUGGAAUUCCCGGUGUAGCAGUGAAAUGCGUAGAUAUCGGGAGGAAUACCGAUGGCGAAGGCAGGUCUCUGGGCUGACACUGACGCUCAUGCACGAAAGCGUGGGGAGCAAACAGG
rnacentral:rRNA from 1 species